rnacentral:antisense_RNA from 1 species
AUGGCCUGGGUGCUGGACUUUUCAUAUUAAGUCCUGUCUUAGCCAAGGGAGAAGAAUGUAAGGAUAAGACCACCAAUAUCACAGGGGCUGUCUGAGCCUUUACCUGUGAUUUUCUACCACUCUGUGGCCUUCUGGAGCAAUGGACAGCCAAGUCAGCUAUGCAGUUCACAAAAGUGGACCUGGUUAUAUGUCAUCCAACAGCAUAUGGUCCCUGCAAGCCUGUUCGGAAGCCAAUAUUCUAUAACCUACAGGAAUCCACUGAAUCCGAUGUCUUUGGAAGCAAUACAUUUUCCAGGGUUCCAAUGGACUACGGAAUAAGGCAACACAGGGCCUGUUUUCCCGCAGUGUCCUCUGCUCCAAGGAACUUUCUUAAGGAAGCUGGACGUGUCAAUGAGGUACCUCCCGGGGUUCUACAGUUCCUCCUGCCCACUGGCCAGGGGGAAUCUGGCGGGAGCCUCUCGGUGGAUGCUCUCACAUGACUGUGCCUUCUGAAAGAACAUCUGUGAAGAGCAGUUUCUGGUGUCCCUGAGUAACCCUUUUCUAACAAUUCAGCC